rnacentral:lncRNA from 1 species
UUUAUAUAUAACAUACGCGUAUCGUGCGCACGCGUGCUCACACGGUUAAAUAUGUACAUGCAAAUUUACGUAAUCGUAUGUAUGUGAUACGUGUGUAUAUAUAGAUAUAUGUAUUGCAUAUAUAUAUGUAUAAGGACGUAUUGAGCCACGCAUGCGCGUGCGCAAACAGCUGCGGUUUCAUUCAUGACGAUAAAUGGGGGGCGGGAAUAAAUCGAUAAGGAAAGCAAAGAUAAUUAUCAUAAUUUUUUAUCUUUUUGUACUUUUUUACUUCGUUUUGUUUCCUGUUCUCCCUUGUUCGAUAAUAAAGAAAUAAUAAUUAGACUUUUUUCAAGAGACUCGUGCACGAAGAGUACGUUGAAAAAGAAAAAUUAAAGAUCGCUGUUUUUACGAUGAAUUCACGAAGUUGAAUUAAAUACGCAAGAUGACGUUCGAUUAUCGAACACCUUGAUUGUAAUCGAUAACGCGUUUCCCCGUUCGAUACAUUCGAUCAUAAUAAAAUCAAUGACAGGGCAAAUCAUUAAAGUCGACGAUUAUUAAAGGAAAAUGUCUACUCGUAGAAAGAA